CGGCUUCGCUCCUGGGGAGCCAGAAGCAUGGAAUCAGGUCCGCGUGGUGGAGGGUUUGGGGCAGGGGCGGGUAAAUAUGAGGAAAGGGCCAGACAGUGAAUAUUUUAGGGUUUGUGGCUGUGCAACUCUGCUGUUGUAGUGCAGAAGCAGCCGUGGGUGAUACCUGGGCAAAUGGGCCUGGCUGUGUUCCCAUGAAAAUGCAUUUACUAUAACAGAUGCCAAGAGGAUUAGGCCACCAACUUUGGCGUGUGCUCUUCGGGCCUGCCGUCUAACAGAAUGAGGGUUCCAGCGGUGUUCGCAUCAUCAGACGUCUAGUGUUCUGCACAUAAAACAAGCUCUUGAGGUCAGGAGACAACAUGCAAUCUAGCAGGCAGGUAGCUCGUGAAGCGUCUCAUCUCCCAGCAUAACAAGUGCUUCUCCAUCCAUAUGUACAGAAUUCCACUCUCCAGGUGGGAACGUUGUGAUGGAAUACGCUCUGAGAGAUAGAGGAGGCGACUUCUGCCAGGAGUGAUCAGGAGGACUUCUUGGAGGAGGCAGCACUUGAGCUGGUCUUGAAAGAUGAUGAGAUUUUAAUGGGAAAAGAGAUGAUCGAGAAGAACCUUCUAGCAGGAGGGAGCUGCCCUAGCAAAGACAGGAAGGCUGGAAAAUGCGAGAAGUGGGACAGGAAGAUCAACACAGGACCUCUCCCUUCUGAGCCAAACUGACACCUACCUCUUGCCAUGACAGGCCGCUCUUCUGGAGAUUAUAAACUAUUUAUUUUUAACAGAGAAACUGCCUUAGUUGGAGUUCUGGCUCUGCCACUUACUUAGGUCGGCGCUGCCUCAGGUCUGAAAUGAUGUCUUCUCUUUCCUGUUUUCUGAGCAGCUCAUUCUGCUGCCCGUCAAAUAGGCCCUUUCCCCAGGACCCUUGGGGUCCAGCUGAGUGGAGCAGCCUCCCACACUGGAAGCCUUGAGUUUUCCCCACCUGGGCCUUUCUCUCUGUCCCUGACAUCCGGUUGGUCACCAGAUCCUGGCAGUUGAAAGUCAUUCUCAAGUCCAGCCCCACCACUGCACCUCGGUCCAUGCUCCUGGACACCAGUCUCUCACCGAGCGCUAUGCGUGGCUUGCGUCUGCGGCUGAGAAAUCCUUUCAAACGCACGCCUUCCCUAUUAUAUCCAGCAUAGGAUCUGACCCGGCAGGACCUCAGUAAAGACUUGUGGCUGCUUUAAGAGUGGGCACCUGCCGUCACAUUUUCCUCAGCAUUUUCCCUAUGCUGCUGGCGCAUUGGGUAGCUCUACUCAACCCAUGACGGAUUGCAGAUCUUUUGGCCGCUGCAUUCACAAAUUUGUCCCGAGCCGCUCCAUGGAAGGCAUCCCAGAAGCCUAUCAAUCUUCCCAUGAGUGUUCAAGAUUCCCAAAUCCCCAAAAGGCCCUAAUACCAUCUCUGUGUGAGCAGCUGCCCAUGUGUUGGGGAGUGCCCUGCCUGAGGCAGAGGGCGCACUGCAUCUGUUUGGAGGUGGGUGAGCCUCACGUGUUCUGCACAGGGCAUGAGGCAGGUUGCCAGGAAGGCCACGACCCGCUCAAGCUCCUCUCGUGACGAGGACGCCACCUGAAACAGUCGGGCUGCAGUCGCCGCCGUCCUCCGGCUCCCACUCUGCUGGGGUCUCCCUGCUGACCCGGCUUCCCCAGCGCCUCCGGUUCUUCCCAGCCCGAUCUCUCUCCACUGUCAUCCUCAGUGCCAGCCUGUCUCCCACGCCAGCUCGUAAACUCCAGGGUGGCGACUUUGUCUCACUUUCUUUUGUGUUCUGAGCACCUGACCUGGGCAGCCCUGAAGGCAGCUGUGUGAGGGUGAGUCUGCUCACGUGCCUACCCUAUGAUGAGGUGUCCUGCUCACCUGUGGGGUCAUGCAGGGCCGCUGCUCCCCUAAUGCGAUCCCAUAAACAGUGCAGAGGUUGUCUCGGGGCUCUCGCAGCUGCUACGUGGCGCCUCCGCUGAGCGUCACCCAGAGGGCAGCAGCGAAGGAGGGGCCGAGCUCUCCACCUCCUGCUCCCUCUCCUCUCUAACUUUUCCUGCUGCCGUUCUCUUCCUGGGGCUGGGGCUGAAACCCUGGCAUCAUUAUCUCUGCAAACUCAUCUCUGUAAAUGCCCAGGCAGGCGUUCUCCCUCCUCCCACCCACGGACCCCCGCUUAGUCCAGCUCUUACCUGGGUUCUUGCAGAAACUUCCUAACAGGUGUGUCCAGGAAGCACUUCAGAUGUUUUCUCUGCUGCUUCUGGUUAUCUUUUAAAUCAGAGAUGGGGGAGUCAGGCCCCAUUUAAACGUCUCCUGGAGCCGAGUGGGAGGACAGCUCUUGGGCGUUGCCUGGGCUGGUGGGGCCAGCUCCCUCCUGACUGCCCCGCUGUCUGCCAAGAGCAUUUUUCCCAUUUUUCCAGAGUCCAGGCGGUGGCCAUGACCCCCGAGCACGCCAGGCGUUAUCCCAGCUGAGCCUCCAGAGUCUCUGGGCUUUCUUCAUAGGUGCUGGGGCAGUCACUCUCAGCCACGACAGGGACACACGAGGCCCACCUCCCAGGAGAAAGCGCCUCUUUCCUCGCCUUUCUGGCCCCAGAGAAAUACAACUUUCAAGAAAGAGUUUGUUCAUGACAAAGUGAGACAGAGUUAAGAGAGAAACUCAGGAUUCAAGGUGAAGAUGUCAGAUGCGCUUGGAUGUGGGAGGAAAGAUCCACCCUGGCCCUCAGUGGAGAGUUCUGACAGUGGUGGGUGCCACUGGGGCUAGGUCCUUUGUGCUGUGGCAGCACCAUCUCCCCCAACCUGCUGCAACUGGGGCUCAGCUGCCUUUUCCAGAGAUCGUGGGGGGUCGCCUCAACUGCGGGGUCACCUGUCCCAACCACUCUCAGCCAAUGACUGACAGACGGGCUCUGGGCUGGGGCCUCUGGGCCUCCAUGAGGGACCUACUCUACAAUUGACACAUCAGGGCAGACAUUGUAGGAUGUGAAUCACUGCAGGGGGAGGAUGCCUGGCAGUGAGACUGUCUGUCCCAGGAGACAGGAAUCCUCACAUUUCCCAGACAAGGCCAAAUUGGGUGUGUGGGAUUUUCUACAAAGUUUUAAAGAAAAAAAAUUUUUAUUCUGAAAUUAUCCUAAUUGUGGUAUUAAAAUGUCAUUUAUUUAUUUAUUUUGAGAUGGAGUCUCACUCUGUCACCCAGGCUGGAGUGCAGUGGCACCAUCUCAUCUCACUGCAACCUCCGCCUCCCCAGGUUCAAGCAAUUCUCAUGCCUCAGCCUCCCAGGUAGCUGGGACUACAGGUGUACAGGUGCGUGUCAUCAGGCCUGGCUAAUUUUUGUAUUUUUAGUAGAGAUGGCAUUUCGCCAUGUUGCUUAGGCUGGUCUCAAACUCCUGACCUCAAGUGAUCCGCCUGCCUCAGCCUCCCAAAGUGCUAGGAUUAAAGGUGUGAGCCACUGCACCCAGCCAAAAUGUUUUUUCUUUAAUCCAGUAAUGGUGAUUAAAAAUCCUUGCUUAACAAAAGAAAAAGUUGGUCACAUACGUCAGUCCUCAAAUGUGUUCUGAAACAUUCAUGGGCGUACCUCCUAGAGGCUGUGAGCCACGGCUCUGCAGGCAUCUGGCUCAGUCCCCCUCUCCGGCUCCCCUGGCCCCCACUUUGGCAGCUCUUCCUGGGCUGUGAUUUUGUUUCUGCAGAGUGGCCACCAUUCUGCAGAAACGGUCAUACCCUCUGGGACCCUCUGCCUCACAGAGGCCCCCACGUUCCUGGGCCCUCCCUAAGGGGAGCCUUGUUUCUCCGAGGAGAUCUUGGGCUCACCGGUUAUGUUUCAGGGACCCACAGGACAGGAUUCCUGGCUCUAGUGUUUAGAAACACACUUGAGAGAGCCAGGUUGAAAGCUCUCCCUGGGUGCGUGACCACACUUAGGUGGUGAAGGUGGGGACGCCUGCAUGGGCGCUGGGGGGCUCAUGCACAGCUGGCCACCCUCAUCCCUGGUUUGUCAGCGCAGACCCCUGGGAAGCCUCCUCGCCUGCUGUGGUCUCUCUUCUAAGCAUCUUCAGUGGUGCAGUGGCUCAGGCUCUCACUGUGCUCAAGAUGCAGGCUGAACGUCACACUCAGGCUAAGGCCAAGCCCCCCACCUCCCCACACCACCCACCCCUGUCUAGUGAGGACGUGCUACUCUAGCUAAGUCCCUACCAUCCUCCUCGUCCACCAUGGCUGGCAGAAUCACAUCUCAGAACUAAAAUGUAGAAGUUGAUUUUCAGCAUAAAGAGCUUGUUUCCACACAUCUCAAGAUUAGGAAGUGACUUGUACUUGGAGAGAUAAAUGUUGACUUUUCAUGGAGAAAAUGGACAAGGUCCUCUCCUACUGGCCUGGCCCUAGGCUAGUUGAUCUCUUCGGUGAGAUCUGGGAUGUGGGGGACUGGGACGUGGGUCCUGCUCCCCUCUGCUCCAGGCACACAGCUGGCCAGAGGCUGGUGCUGCAGGAGCUGGCGUGGGUGCGGCCCCCAUGAGCCCUCACUGCCCUGGCCUGUCCCAGCCCUGCAUGGUGGAGGCUGCCCUGCCCUGCAGGAACAUGUGGCUUCCUCUUGGCUGCUCCAGCUUGCUUGGUGCUGUGGUUUGAAUGUGUCCCCCAGUUUCAUAGGCUGGAAACUUACUCCCCAUAGUCACAUGUUGAUUGGAGGUGGGGCCUUUGGGAGGUAACUAGGAUUAGAUGAGGACAUCAGGAUGGGACCCGAUGGGGGAUGUGGCCUUAUGAGAAAAGGAAGGGAGACCUGAGCUGGUAUACGUGCUCUCUCACCAUGGGACACCUUCCGUCAUGGGAUGAUGCUGCAGGAGGGCUCUCACCGGAUACGGCCACUCGACUUUGGACUUCCCAACCUCCAGAACUGCGCAAAAUAAAUUUUUCUUUAUAAACGGCCCAGUCUGUGGUGUUCUGUUAUAGAAACACAAAACAGACUAAGACACUUAGUUCUCCUGAUGUCCCCUACAGCCUGUCUUCCUGCAGUUCCUGAGUGCUUGGCCUCCUUGGCCUUUGCAGGUCAUGGUGGGCUCCUUGUAGGGCCCAGCCUUUCCUGGUUUCCCCGUCCAGCAUCCACCUGUUGCCUGGAGCCAACCCCAUCUGCAGUUGGAUAGUGGUGGUGCCCCCACUUCAUGCUGGCUCCCAAAAGAGACUUACUUGCGUCUUAAAGCAAAACCAGUAUUAAAAUUCUGCCCUACUCUUGUUGUAUCUUAAGGGCUUACGUGAAACACUUUUUUUUGUUUUUGGAAUCGCAUUGAAUGCAAAAUGGGCCCAGUUGGAGGGCGCUAGCCAGGGCGGGAACUUGUGGGUACCAGGUUAAUUGGGGUUCUGGUUGUGGAGGGAGAAAAAAGGACCUGACUUUCAUCCCAACCACUUACCUGUGCAGGUGCCACCUGCCUGUCUGCUCAGCCAACCGACCCAGAGCAUGAACUGGUUAUUUGCACAAUGGAAGUGAAAGAGGGAAAAGGUGCUAGAGGCAGAAAUUGAUUCAUUGGCAAGGAGACCUUCAGCUUUGACAAUUUUCUCAAGGAGGCAAAGGAUGAAAGUGCUUAGCCCACAAGAAAAAUCAUCUGAUUAAGCUGGGGUUUAAAAUAAAGCAAGAACUUCACAGUAUCUCUCACAUCAAGGGACUAGUUCUCACACCUGUUUUUGGGAGAGCUGGUGAAAGGAGGAAGGAGAUGGUACCUUGAGGAAAAGCCACCUUUGGGAGAUUCUGAGCAGUUGCUAAGUGUCCCCUGGCCCUGGAGCCGGCACCUACCUUCUGCCCACUCGGACAGUGCAGUGAGUCAGAGACGGCACAGGUGGAAUGAGACUAACUGUGGCCCCACCCUGGCCGGCAGCCCUGUGUUGCAGAGCAUAGCACAGCCAGCAGAGGGACCAGGAGAUGCAGGAGCCCUCCUAGUCUCCCCCUGCACCGCCCUCACCACCCACCCCCAUGAGGAAGGGGCCGUCCCAGAAGAUGCUAAGAGGCUCAGCCCCUCCUCCAUGGAGUUUGGGAAGGUGACAGUGUUAAGCUCCCCCACCUCCCAGAAGGAAUCCGGUUCCCAAACUGGGAGAUGGUCCUGAUUACCACGGAGCAAUUAAGCAAGCUGCGGAGGAGAAGCCGUAGUGAAGACCCUCCCCACGCAUGCUGUGUUUGCUCAUAGGAGCAGGGGCAUGAAAGGUUUUGUAACAACAAAAAAGAAAGCUGGCUCCAAGUGUGGAAAGAAAGCAGAGGAAGGAACGGGUGGGGACCCUGUUGGCAGCUCUCCCUGAGGACGGGCCAGGAUGGGGGGUCCUGGGGUCUGGGAUUCUGACCCCAAUCUUUAGAGCAGUCCCUAAGCCCCUUGCUCGCAGGGAGUGAAGCACCAGCAGGCAUGGCUGCCAGGUCAGCAGACAGCCGACUCGGCUUCCUCGAUGGGCAGCUUGCCCCGAUGUCACGGCUGGCAUUCACCGUGGCCCAUGAAGGCGGUGGAGAGUGCCCCACAGGAGCAAUCUGCCGCCAAAGGGGACGUGACGCCUGCCAGGAAUGCCCAGCACACACCCAGUCUCGGGGCACCUGCCCUCACAGCUGGGGGGCGUCACCUAUGUGCCCCGAAUGUAGUAGAUCAUGUGGUGCCUGCACCAAGGCCGUGGCAUGAAAUUCAAUAAAAUUUCCCCAAAUUCAUUGUUCAGUCAUGACUCAUUUCCAAGGAAAGGAGUGAAAUCCACCCUUCUUCCUUUGUUCUUUCUUCCUCCUUUGAAAGUGUCCCCAUGGAGAAGCCCCCACUCCUACAGUCUUGAGAAAGAGCCUCUCACACACUCACACCCAUUCCCACACACAGACACACUCAUACACACACACAUAUUCCCACACACACUCAC
rnacentral:lncRNA from 1 species